CACAUUUUUUCUUUUAUCUUUUGUCAUCCUACUUUCUAAAUACAAACACAUUUUUCUUUUUCAAGGCAUUCUAAAAUUUAAGGAUGUAGUUGGUGCGAAUGUCCUUCCAAACCACAUCAAAGAGAAUUUAUGGUGCGGUUAAAAGAUUCGCGAAAGAAAUGCUAUACGGUUGCUAUGGAAUAAGGCUCAUAGGAAUUCAACCGCUUAAAAUCAGGGGAGUCGGUUCCAUUUCUCUUAUGUUUCGAUUUAUGUUUGUAGAUGAGUUGUGAGGUUUGCUCUCCAUUGAGGACAAUGAAGGAAAUAAGUAUGGUAUCAAGGUUUCUCAUGGACGAAAUGCUAUAAACGUGGAACAAGGUUUUAGGAGCCACCAUUGCUAUUGUCUCUACACCUAAUGCUAGGCCCCACAAUCAAGCGUGCCUUAAGCUUUGGGGUACACCUUAGGCAUUUGAGAUGGCAAGAAGUACCAUUUGGGAUAAAAUAAGAGAUGUUUAAUAGGUUGAGGAUGUGUUUGGCAAAGAUGACUAAAUUGUUAAGAGACUGAAAGAAUUUAUUGGUGCAUGGAUUAAGGUUUCUGGUUCAACUUUUUUACCUGUUUCUAUUUCAUUUAAACCUUUUAAGUUUGACUCGUUUAAACUUUUAGCUUGACCUUUU